UCGUAUUCGUUAAUAGUUCCG
ensembl:piRNA 21ur-4928 ncRNA